AGUUUCUUUUCUCCCAUGCUACAUGUUCAUUGUAUGUUGGCUUCAGCUCUGAUCUGUAUCAUCUUCCCUCUGUGACCCAAGCAGGAAGGGAAGAGCAUCUGUCCGAAAUAUUUUGGCAGUCAUUGAGUCAGAAGACAUCUCUCUGGAAGUGACCAUCACUGUUACUCCACUCCAAUUUUAUUGGCCAAAGAAAGUCACAUAAUCUGAGUUCAAAAUGUCAGGAAAAUCAAAAGCAGGUCUCCUUUACAUGGCAAGGGAAGCAAUCGACCUCUGUUGAGAGAUGUAUUGCAGCAAAAGAGCCUCUGUUUUCUAGUGAACCUGGACCAAGACACAGGGCUUCUUGGAAAAAUGACUGAUUACUGGUCUGCAGAAAGAAAUGCACGUGAUGAGUCUGGGACAUCUUAUUGUGCGAGACACUAAUGGUGUCAUGUCAAAAGGACACAGGAGCAAAUUUGAAGGGGCUCCAACUGGCCAAAGCCCCCAGAAAACUGUGGGUAAUUUGAGGACUGGCUCCACCUGUAACGGGCCUGUCGACUCCGGCGCCAGCGAGAAAAAGGAGCCGGAGCGUCACGAGCUGAAAUCGGCUCCCGGGGGUUCCGAUGAAGGGGUGUUUCUGGGCAAACCCCGAGACCAACAGAAGCCGAGGAGAGCUUCACCGAAAGGUCCAGAGGCGGGCUGCUACCCACUGCGGGAGACGGUCCUCAGCCCUCGCCGAACGCUUCCCGCCAGACGGCCGGGGAGGAACCUCCUGCGCCAUGACUUCACCGCGCUCCGCCGGCCGCCGGGGCCCCCGGGAAAUGAAGCCAGGCAGCUGCCAGCCGGCCUCCUAACUCCUCCUUCCUCUCCGUCCUAGGAGCAUACCGGUACUCCAACUUUAAGCGCAGCUUGAGUGAAAGGUAUUCAUAAGCCCAAAAAGUUUGGUGAAGAAAACGGUACAGCAAGAACAUACCUUCCAGAGAAUGACUCUUGCAACCGUCAUGCACUUAAGUCUACUCUUCUUCCUUUGAGAUGCUCUAAAAUUGUAUGAACUUCAGACUCUACAAAACUUGGAUUCAUACCUGCAUAGUGUCUGAACAUAUAGUGUCUGGAGUUAGACUGUUCAGCUUCAAAUCUCAGG